GAUUAACGCUGGCGGCGUGCAUAACACAUUCAAGUCGAACGAACGAGAGCCUUCGGGCUCAAGUUAGUGGCGGACGGGUGAGUAACGCGUGAGCAACCUGCCUUUGUGAGGGGGAUAACUACUGGAAACGGUAGCUAAUACCGCAUGACGCAUUAGAGGGGCAUCCCUCAGAUGUCAAAGAUUUAUCGGACAAAGAUGGGCUCGCGUCUGAUUAGAUAGUUGGUGGGGUAACGGCCUACCAAGUCGACGAUCAGUAGCCGGACUGAGAGGUUGAACGGCCACAUUGGAACUGAGAAACGGUCCAGACUCCUACGGGAGGCAGCAGUGGGGAAUAUUGGGCAAUGGGGGCAACCCUGACCCAGCGACGCCGCGUGAGGGAAGACGGUCUUCGGAUUGUAAACCUUAGUAAGCAAGGAAAAGAAAAAGAUGGUACUUGCAGAGUAAGCCACGGCUAACUACGUGCCAGCCGCCGCCGUAAUAC
rnacentral:rRNA from 1 species